UAACAUGGAGAGAGAGAGAGAGAGUAACAUGGAGAGAGAGAGAGAGAGUAACAUGGAGAGAGAGAGAGUGAGUAACAUGGAGAGAGAGUGUAACAUGGGGAGAGAGAGAGUGAGUGAGUAACAUGGAGAGAGAGAGAGAGAUCAUUAAUCAGUGAGCAGCAGGGAGGAUACAGUAUCAGUAAUGUAAUGCUGUCACUAAUCAGCUGAUUAAACCAAUAACCAAAUCAAUACAU